rnacentral:rRNA from 1 species
GGUACCGUCAAAUGCAAUGGGUAUUGACCAUCGCACAUUUCUUCCCUAUUGACAGAGCUUUACAACUCGAAAGCCUUCAUCACUCACGCGGCGUCGCUGCAUCAGGGUUUCCCCCAUUGUGCAAAAUUCCUCA